rnacentral:rRNA from 1 species
AUUGGACGCUGGCGGCAGGCCUAACACAUGCAAGUCGAGCGGUAGCACAGAGAGCUUGCUCUCGGGUGACGAGCGGCGGACGGGUGAGUAAUGUCUGGGAAACUGCCUGAUGGAGGGGGAUAACUACUGGAAACGGUAGCUAAUACCGCAUAACGUCGCAAGACCAAAGUGGGGGACCUUCGGGCCUCAUGCCAUCAGAUGUGCCCAGAUGGGAUUAGCUAGUAGGUGGGGUAACGGCUCACCUAGGCGACGAUCCCUAGCUGGUCUGAGAGGAUGACCAGCCACACUGGAACUGAGACACGGUCCAGACUCCUACGGGAGGCAGCAGUGGGGAAUAGUGCACAAUGGGCGCAAGCCUGAUGCAGCCAUGCCGCGUGUGUGAAGAAGGCCUUCGGGUUGUAAAGCACUUUCAGCGGGGAGGAAGGCGAUAAGGUUAAUAACCUUGUCGAUUGACGUUACCCGCAGAAGAAGCACCGGCUAACUCCGUGCCAGCCGCCGCUGUAAAAC